rnacentral:misc_RNA from 1 species
GAUGAAGAACGCAGCGAAAUGCAAUAAGUAAUGCGAAUUGCAGAAUUCAGUGAAUCAUCGAAUCUUUGAACGCACAUUGCGCCCGCCAGUAUUCUGGCGGGCAUGCCUGUCUGAGCGUCGUUUCGACCCUCGCGCCCGGCUUCUGUCGGGGGCGGUGUUGGGGAUCGGCCACACCCUUCAGUGGGAGGCCGGCCCCUAAAUUCAGUGGCGACCACGCUGUAGCCUCCCCUGCGUAGUACUAAAACCACCUCGCAGGCGGAGAGCGGUGCGGCCCGCCGUAAAACCCCCCAACUUUUACAAGGUCGACCUCAGAUCAGGUAGGAAUACCCGCUGAACUUAAGCAUAUCAAUAAGCGGAGGA